GGGAAUCUGCCCCUGGGUUCGGAAUAACAGUUAGAAAUGACUGCUAAUACCGGAUGAUGACGUAAGUCCAAAGAUUUAUCGCCCAGGGAUGAGCCCGCGUAGGAUUAGCUAGUUGGUGAGGUAAAAGCUCACCAAGGCGACGAUCCUUAGCUGGUCUGAGAGGAUGAUCAGCCACACUGGGACUGAGACACGGCCCAGACUCCUACGGGAGGCAGCAGUGGGGAAUAUUGGACAAUGGGCGAAAGCCUGAUCCAGCAAUGCCGCGUGAGUGAUGAAGGCCUUAGGGUUGUAAAGCUCUUUUACCCGGGAUGAUAAUGACAGUACCGGGAGAAUAAGCUCCGGCUAACUCCGUGCCAGCAGCCGCGGUAAUACGGAGGGAGCUAGCGUUAUUCGGAAUUACUGGGCGUAAAGCGCACGUAGGCGGCUUUGUAAGUUAGAGGUGAAAGCCUGGAGCUCAACUCCAGAACUGCCUUUAAGACUGCAUCGCUUGAAUCCAGGAGAGGUGAGUGGAAUUCCGAGU
rnacentral:rRNA from 1 species